rnacentral:rRNA from 1 species
CCUACGGGGGGCUGCAGUGGGGAAUUUUCCGCAAUGGGCGAAAGCCUGACGGAGCAAUACCGCGUGCGGGAGGACGCCCUUUGGGGUGUAAACCGCUUUUGUGAGGGAAGAAGUUCUGACGGUACCUCACGAAUCAGCCUCGGCUAACUCCGUGCCAGCAGCCGCGGUAAGACGGAGGAGGCAAGCGUUAUCCGGAAUUAUUGGGCGUAAAGCGUCCGCAGGUGGCGGCUCAAGUCUGCUGUCAAAGUCCAGGGCUCAACUCUGGGAAGGCAGUG